UACGAAGGGGGCUAGCGUUGUUCGGAAUCACUGGGCGUAAAGCGCACGUAGGCGGCUUUCUAAGUCAGGGGUGAAAUCCUGGAGCUCAACUCCAGAACUGCCUUUGAUACUGGAGAGCUAGAGUCCGGAAGAGGUGAGUGGAACUGCGAGUGUAGAGGUGAAAUUCGUAGAUAUUCGCAAGAACACCAGUGGCGAAGGCGGCUCACUGGCCCGGUACUGACGCUGAGGUGCGAAAGCGUGGGGAGCAAACAGG
rnacentral:rRNA from 1 species